UUUAAUUCAACCAUGGAAGUAUUAUAUUGACAGGAACUCCAACAAACCGACUUCAAACGUUUAUAGUGCGAUGCCGCAAAAUCGUUAAGUAUCUGUUAAUUAAUUUGACAUCUUUCAAUUAGUUGUAUCGAUGCAUGGGUUCAACGACGUUUUCGGGAUACUCGUAAUUACGGAAUUUACCGAAGUAACCGGAUGUAUACAUAAAUGUCAAGGAUAUGACAUUUAACGACCCCCCCCCAAAAAAAAAAAAAAAAAAACUGAAAAAAAAACAUAAUCGUUUGCAUGGACAUCAUUUUCAAUCGCAAAUAUCUAUUUAUUCUUUAUAUUCGCUUAUUUGUUUCUCUGUUAUUUGUUUUGUGCAUAAUCAGGCCAAUAGAAUUUUUUUCAUAUAUGAAAUGGAUUUGCUAAAAUAUGUUUAAGGCUGUAAGGUGACCUAUAGUUGAAAACUUCUGUUUCAUUUGAUCUCUGGUGGAGAGUAGUCUUAUUGGCAAUCAUAUCUUCUUAUUUUUAUAUUGAAUUAUAAUAAAUGUCUUGUGUAAGGAAACAAAUAGUUGUAAUCUGCAUGUAUAAUUGAGGUUUACUGCUAACAAAUCACUUGUUGAAUUGUUUACUGAAAGUCCGGUGUCAAAUGUUUCAUUCAUUUCAACAAAAAGAAAAUUUUAUAAAUUUCCCAAAACAAAUCCGUCAGACGCCAGAGCAAUCUCGGACCAGGUUGAAUUUAAAAAAAAAAAGAAGGUGUACAUGUAAUCUGUGUUUUAACUUGAUACAUACUAUAUGGAGAGACAAUCACGGGCGUAUAAUUAUCCACCUCUUAGUGCUUAAAACAAUUUCUAUAAAUAUGUUAAGUUACAUUUUACGAUCGAGAAAACUAUUAAUAUUUGUGUUACACUCGAUUAAAAUUUACAAUCUUUAACUUAAAAUUUGAGUUAUCAGGCGCCAUCAGGCACACUACACGGACAUCAAAUUAUUUUCUGCAAACACUCUACUUCAGAGUCAUGUAAUCUGCAUAAUCCGAUAUUUCCCGAUUUCCUAGUUCUAGUGAUAAAAACAUAUUAGACAAAACUAAAAAUAAUCUUACAUUCUUUCCAAAUACAGUUAUUUUUCUUUUGUCAUUCUGUUAAAUAUGGACCGAUUUUUAAGAUUGUUUCAGCUGUAGUCUUUAAUUAUUGAAUAAAAACAGGUGUCGUUAUUCAUGUAGCGAUUUGCAAUUAGCCACGGGAGUUUCCGUGUUUAUUUACAUUGGUAGGUAGAUUAGACCCUCGAUAACAGAUCACGUGAUAAGAUCAGUUUCUGUAAACUACACACGCGAGGGCGGCAUCGCAGAUACCCCACAAAGGAGUUAUCACAUACUUGACAUACUGAGUCGGAACCUUUUAUUUUCCUAAAGAAAUCAGUGGGG
rnacentral:lncRNA from 1 species